GGACUAAACCGGCAAACUGACUCUGCCACUGAUGGAUCACACUUGGGUCCACUGACCCAAAGGGGACACUCCAACCCAGAGACCAUCAAACCCAACCUCUCUACUGCUCUCGGGGCAACAAAAGAAUGAGAUGCACCAGGGUCCAUUAAAGCAUACACAUCUGAACAACCAAUGAUGAGAUUACCUGACACCACGGUGUUGGAUGUGUUCGCCUCCUGCUGUGUCAUAGUGAAGAUCCUAGCUGGAGCUG
rnacentral:lncRNA from 1 species